rnacentral:lncRNA from 1 species
UACACGUGCAUUAAUGAGGUAGGAAAAUGCUCAAGGAUAACAACCAAGUAUCCAGAUUAUCUCAUGAGACCGAGAGAGAUGCAUAUGUGUGCAUGCUCAUGUUUCAGCUCAGAGCGCUUUGUCUAGAAGGCUCUUGAACUCAGAGGCCCAGGCACUAUCAACUUGACUUUGCAGUGGAGGCAUCACUUUUGUUGAUCAAUGAAAUUGACAUAAUGAUCAUUUUUUUUUUAGCACCGACCAUGUGCCGAGAGCUAACUGUGUCAAGAAGAGCAUGCUUCAGUUGGCUGGAGUGAGCAAUUCAACUUGUGGAGGAGUGAGAAAUGUUAGUGUUGAGACAAGAAACGUAAAACCCCAGGGUAAGGACAGCAAGGCUGAGGAGAAUGGCUCCCACAGCUUCAUGCACUCCAUGGACCCACAGCUGGAGCGGCAAAUGGAAACCACCCAGAACCUGGUGGACUCCUACAUGGCCAUUGUCAACAAGACCGUGUGGGACCUCAUGGUUGGUGCGAAGCCCAAGACCACCAUGCAUAUCAUGAUCUACAAUGUGCAUGCACCGCCUCAUGG